rnacentral:rRNA from 1 species
GUGAGGAAUAUUGGUCAAUGGGCGGGAGCCUGAACCAGCCAAGUCGCGUGAAGGAAGAAGGAUCUAUGGUUCGUAAACUUCUUUUGCAGGGGAAUAAAGUGCAGGACGUGUCCUGUUUUGUAUGUACCCUGAGAAUAAGGAUCGGCUAACUCCGUGCCAGCAGCCGCGGUAAUACGGAGGAUCCGAGCGUUAUCCGGAUUUAUUGGGUUUAAAGGGUGCGUAGGUGGUUUGAUAAGUCAGCGGUGAAAGUUUGCAGCUUAACUGUAAAAAUGCCGUUGAAACUGUCGGACUUGAGUGUAAAUGAGGUAGGCGGAAUGCGUGGUGUAGCGGUGAAAUGCAUAGAUAUCACGCAGAACUCCGAUUGCGAAGGCAGCUUACUAAGCUUCAACUGACACUGAAGCACGAAAGCGUGGGGAUCAAACAGGAUUAGAUACCCGGGUAGUCC